UAUUACAUUUAUUGAUGUCAUAUGUUUGUCUUAUUUUUACAUUCUACAACUUUACUGUGAAGAUAACUGCGUGUGGGGGUUGAUACAGUCUAGGGCAGUGACGUGCGGUCAGGGGAGGCAGUGCCUCACGUGAUGCGUGUCGCUUUCUUUUCCUCCGCCAAUAAAGUGCAGCGAAAAAUCAGCCGGGAGGCAACCAGUACUCUGCCUCGCCCCAAGGGGUCGAACCUGAACUGACAGGUGCUCUCCAGCUGGCGUCAACUGACAUAUGUAAAUCGGCGCCAAACUACAGCCACCGUUGUCUAUGCUCCGUCUGAUCAGACUUACUAUGGAUUAUGUUUCAAGACGGAAACAUCUCUCCAAACUGGACUUCCGGUCCAAACGGACUUACUAUGGAUUAUGUUUCAAGACGGAAACAUCUCUCCAAUCUGGACUUCCGGUCAAAACGGAAGUUGAUAAUUGAAGCUAACGCCGGAGCUAACAGGUUAGCUUCAAACUACGGGCCAGAAGAGUCGUUGGUUUUAAAUGUAGAGGUACAAACGAAGAGACUGUCUGUGUGUCUGUCCGGUCAAAACCCGCCAUUACUGCUGUCCUUGUUUUUUAUUGUCGUCGUGUUAUAACGUCUGGACGAACUCGGAAUACUGUGACCUGAAACAUUUACAAAGAAGCCUCAGCAGACAUGGAAGAUCAGACACGAACAUUCAAAGACAGAUUUAUUUAGAAACUUCUGGAAAUUCAAGGAUUUGUCAUCGGAUGAACAACGGAGACUAAACAUUAGCCUCGACGAUGUUAAGGUGAGGGGAAACCCAGAGACACAACCACGGACUUCAGCUAGAAGUAAAGCCCAGUACAAAAUAUCCACGGCCUGGUACUGGUCCUCGACCUCAUGGUUGGGAACAUCUGGUUGAAUUCAAAAUAUGCAGUUGUGACGAAGGUGGGUUCAUGAGCACAUAUAAAGCCUUUGCCUCUGCACCAACAUCCCUGAUGUGAUGGAUGAAGACCUAUGGUGCAGUGGACAUGGACGGGGCCUCAGAAUGACACCAGCCUGGAACAGCCUGAUGAAGGUGCGUCCACCUCUGUAAUUGUGUCAGUGUGUGUUGAAGGACAGGUUCUUCAUUAGACAUUCACCCGAGGACCGGCUCCACUGAGCCGCCGUGCCGCCGCCCUCAGGA